UGAGCACUGGGUUAAAUGGGUGACGGGCAUUAAGGAGGGCACCUUUCAGGAUGGGCACUGGGCGUCAUGUGUAAGAGAUGAAUCGCUGAGUUCUACUCCUGAAGCCAAGACUACACUGUAUGUUAACUAACUUGAAAAUAAAUUUUUUAAAGAA